rnacentral:misc_RNA from 1 species
CACCCUUCAAGCUAUGCUUGGUAUUGGAUUUCAUCUUGUUUGAUGUUUCCGAAAGAAAGUGGCAGUUUGUAGAACUUCAAGCGCAGUGAAAAUUUUCGUGAACAAGUUUGUCAAGCUCGCCAGAACAAUUUCAAUA